AACGCAAGGUAGGGCAGGUACGCCCAACGGUAGUGGACUAGUGAUGGGGUG
rnacentral:rRNA from 1 species